UGGGGAAUAUUGCACAAUGGGGGAAACCCUGAUGCAGCGACGCCGCGUGAGCGAAGAAGGUUUUCGAAUCGUAAAGCUCUGUCCGAUGGGAAGAUAAUGACGGUACCAUAGGAGGAAGCCCCGGCUAACUACGUGCCAGCAGCCGCGGUAAUACGUAGGGGGCAAGCGUUGUCCGGAAUCACUGGGCGUAAAGGGUUCGCAGGCGGAAAUGCAAGUCAGUUGUGAAAGGCAGAGGCUCAACCUCUGUAAGCAAUUGAAACUGUAUUUCUUGAGAUGUGGAGAGGCAAGUGGAAUUCCUAGUGUAGCGGUGAAAUGCGUAGAUAUUAGGAAGAAUACCGGUGGCGAAGGCGACUUGCUGGACACAAACUGACGCUGAGGAACGAAAGCGUGGGUAGCAAACAGG
rnacentral:rRNA from 1 species